rnacentral:lncRNA from 1 species
CUCGAAACAGGAACUGUGAUUUGACACAGAGAAAAUAGCAUUUGAGCCAAGAGAAAGCUUUCAUCAGAAGAAAGGGGAAGGUCAUUCCAGACCUCGUCACCUGCACGUCCAGACACAGACAGGCCUGACGGGCUGGGUGCACUGGGGGAGACUGAGGGGCUGGCACCGCUGGAAUGGACUGUGUGGGGAGAAGAAAGAGAAGCUCUUGUUGCCCAACUGACAGACUCUUUCUAACAAGAGAACCUACUGGAGAAGUAAGGAGGCCAAAGCAUGAAAGAUAACCAAGUAUAGCACGACAGGACACUCUGCUGUGGGGUUCUGAGCUGCC